UGUGGGUGAAGAUAGGAUGGGUCUGCGGCGUAUCAGUUUGUAGGGGGUGUAAUGGACCUCCUAGCCAUCGACGCGUACGGGUGUUGGGAGACAUAGCCCGGAGAUGGAUUCUGAGACACGAAUCCAGACCCUACGGGGUGCAGCAGGCGCGAAAACUUCACACUGCAGGAAACUGUGAUGAGGGAACUCCAAGUGCUAUCACUAUGUGGUAGCUUUUCUUGACUAUUAAUCGGUCAUGGAAUAAGGGCUGGGAAAGACCGGUGCCAGCCGCCGCGGUAAUACCGGCAGCUCAAGUGGUCGUCGCUUUUAUUGGGCCUAAAACGUCCGUAGCCUGUUUGGUAAAUCUGUGGGUAAAUCAACCAGCUUAACUGGUUGAAUUCUGCAGAGACUGCCAGACUAGGGACCGGGAGAGGUGUGGGGUACUCUAGGGGUAGGGGUAAAAUCCUGUCAUCCUUAGAGGACCACCAGUUGCGAAGGCGCCACACUGGAACGGAUCCGACGGUCAGGGACGAAGCCUAGGGGCACGAACCGGAUUAGAUACCCGGGUAGUCCUAGGUGUAAACGCUGUGAACUUGGUGUCGGGGAUCCGUAAUGGGUCCUCGGUGCCGGAGUGAAGAUGUUAAGUUCACUGCCUGGGGAGUACGGUCGCAAGGCUGAAACUCAAAUGAAUUGACGG
rnacentral:rRNA from 1 species